AAAAUUCUUGUUUUCUUUGUCCCUGCUCUUUUCUUUUGGCCGGUGCCUCUUUCAUUUCUGUGGAAAGAGUAGUCUUGAAUGAACUAGCUGAUACACGUUAAGACUUUCCCAAAUUUAAGUAUAAUCCUCAAUCAUCUUCACUUACACGUCUAGGAUUCUCGUACUUGUUUGUCUCUGUACUGACAUAAUCUGAUGGUUUCAGGGGGGGAAAAGGAUGGAAAAAAAUUGUUUACCUGAAACCUGUGGUAUUGAUCAACAGCGACAUCAGCAUUGCUGAAAUCCAAAAUUCUCCCUGGCGAAGACGACCCUGGAAAAGUAAGUUCCUUUCUCUUGUAUAAAUAAAUAAUCUGGCAUUUUCCUGAAAGGUGAUGAGAUUACUUACCGGGCUUUCUUGUGAAGGUAUCCCAUAUGCUAGCUCCUUUAUUCCCUUCAGUUGCAGCUCCUUCAAACUGAAAAGGAGAAAUUUGAUUAUCAAGAUGCUCUUCUAAGAAAACCAGACAGCUUCAGGAACACUUCUAUUGAGUUGAGAAGGAAAGAGAACUUGAUAA
rnacentral:lncRNA from 1 species